GGCAGCACAUAUACUCUUAAAAAACAGUGGAGCGACACAGUGAAGAUUAGCAUGGCCCUGUGCAAGGAUGACAUGCAAAUUUCAAAGCGUUCCAUAUUAAA
rnacentral:snRNA from 1 species